GUGUGCACUGCUUUAUCUGGGGGAUAGCCUUUCGAAAGGAAGAUUAAUACCCCAUAAUAUGUUGAAUGGCAUCAUUCGACAUUGAAAACUCCGGUGGAUAGAGAUGGGCACGCGCAAGAUUAGAUAGUUGGUGAGGUAACGGCUCACCAAGUCUACGAUCUUUAGGGGGCCUGAGAGGAUGAUCCCCCACACUGGUACUGAGACACGGACCAGACUCCUACGGGAGGCAGCAGUGAGGAAUAUUGGACAAUGGGUGAGAGCCUGAUCCAGCCAUCCCGCGUGAAGGACGACUGCCCUAUGGGUUGUAAACUUCUUUUGUAUAGGGAUAAACCUACCCUCGUGAGGGUAGCUGAAGGUACUAUACGAAUAAGCACCGGCUAACUCCGUGCCAGCAGCCGCGGUAAUACGGAGGGUGCAAGCGUUAUCCGGAUUUAUUGGGUUUAAAGGGUCCGUAGGCGGAUCUGUAAGUCAGUGGUGAAAUCUCACAGCUUACCUGUGAAAACUGCCAUUGAUACUGCAGGGUCUUGAGUGUGUUGGAAGUAGCUGGGAAUAAGCCACGUGUAACGGGUGGAAAUUGCCUUAGAUUUUCACUUAGAAACA
rnacentral:rRNA from 1 species